rnacentral:SRP_RNA from 1 species
GUAGCGGGAGGCCCGGGGGGCUAGCCCUCCCCUGCCCCGACCAUGCUGGGUCGGGGUCCGCAAAUGGGCUAAUGGCGGGGGCCGCAACUCCCGAGGAAGGUAGUCCGAAGCGUGCAGGGUCCACCUUCCUGCCUAUGACUCUCCGUCCCAUGGGGUCACCGUAGGCCGAUAGGCCUUCCGGAAGGAAGGCCGAAUCGGCCUCACCGGCCGAACCGGGUUAGGCCCGGAAGGGAGCGGCCCUAAGGCCGGGCGGUGGCGUUCAUGGGGGCACGGAGAGGAGGUCAGGAAGGUGGUAGCCCUGCACGUGUAGGCUACCGACCUCGGGGGGUUGCCGCUAC